CGACAACUUGAACCAGGACCAACAUUGUUUGUAAAUCUACGGCGCAUUCGAUAAUCAGGGACUCCCCCCAUUGCAAAUGCACCAGCACCACCUGCUAGGGUUGGGAUUGAUGAGACUUCAGUAGCACCAUCGUUACUGCACUGUAGAGGUUCCAAAGUUUCAACUACAUCACUCAUCAAGGGCCUUGCCUUCGGAUUCUGGCUCAAACAAUAGUAUGCUAAGCUGCAGGCUUUCUGUGCUGCCCUUACAGAGUACUGGUUCUCCAAUCUAGGGUCAAUUAUUUGCAGCAUUUUUCUCUUGUCAUUCAAUUUUGGACGGGCCCAAUCUACCAAGCUUUGCUCCUUGCUGGGCCUUGUCUUGUCAACAGACUUCCUUCCUGUUAAUAGCUCUAGAAGAACAACUCCAAAGCUGUACACAUCACUUCUUGCAGUCAAGUGACCAGUCAUCACAUAUUCAGGGGCAGCAUAACCAUAAGUACCCAUCACUCGAGUUGACACAUGAGUCUCAUCACCUUGUGGCCCAGCUUUUGCAAGCCCAAAAUCAGAUAGCUUGGCAGUAUAAUCAGAGUCCAAUAAUAUAUUAGAUGUUUUGAAGUCCCGAUAUAUAACUGGCCUUUCAGCAUUGUGAAGAAAGGCAAGCCCUUUGGCAGCUCCAAGAGCAAUCAUCAUUCUUGUGGCCCAAGACAAUGGAACAGUUGCUUUUCGAAAGAGGUGAUUCUCAAGACUUCCUCGGAACAUGAACUCAUAAACAAGUAAUCUAUGAUCAUCCUCGCAACAGUAUCCAAUCAACUUCACCAGAUUAGGAUGCCUAAGCUGUCCCAAAAAGUUGACUUCCGUAAGCCAUUCGCGGUGGCCCUGAAGACCCUCCUUGUUGAGAACCUUGACAGCAACUGGCAGAGAUUUGAGGCCAACUCUGACAUUCUCAUCAA
rnacentral:misc_RNA from 1 species